rnacentral:misc_RNA from 1 species
GAUGAAGAACGUAGCGAAAUGCGAUAAGUAAUGUGAAUUGCAGAAUUCAGUGAAUCAUCGAAUCUUUGAACGCACAUUGCGCCCGCCAGUAUUCUGGCGAGCAUGCCUGUUCGCGCGUCAUUUCAACCAUCAAGCCCCAGGCUUGUGUUGGAGCCCUGCGGCUGCCGCAGCCUCCCAAAACCAGUGGCGGGCUCGCUAUCACACCGAGUGCAGUAGUUUACUCUUCGCUCAGGGCGUGUGGCGGGUGCUAGCCGUGAAACCCCCAACUUCUCAAGGUUGACCUCGGAUCAGGUAGGAAUACCCGCUGAACUUAAGCAUAUCAAUAAGCGGAGGA